rnacentral:misc_RNA from 1 species
GAUGAAGAACGCAGCGAAAUGCGAUAAGUAAUGUGAAUUGCAGAAUUCAGUGAAUCAUCGAAUCUUUGAACGCACCUUGCGCUCCUUGGUAUUCCGAGGAGCAUGCCUGUUUGAGUGUCAUUAAUAUAUCAACCUCUUCAGCUUAUGCUUGUUGAGUGUUGGAUGGUGGGGGUUUGCUGGUGUCUUAUGAAGUCAGCUCCUCAGAAAUGCAUUAGCGGAACAAUUUGUUGACCGUUCAUUGGUGUGAUAAAAAUAUCUACGCUAUUGACGUCAGUCAGUUCAGCUUCUAACAGUCCAUUGACUUGGACAAAUUUUUCAUUAAUGUGACCUCAAAUCAGGUAGGACUACCCGCUGAACUUAAGCAUAUCAAUAAGCGGAGGA